GCCAUACAGGUAGGCGAGGAGGGAAUCCUAAGGUGAUCGAGAGAACUCUCGUUAAGGAACUCGGCAAAAUGACCCCGUAACUUCGGGAGAAGGGGUGCUCUGUUAGGGUGCAAGCCCGAGAGAGCCGCAGUGAAUAGGCCCAGGCGACUGUUUAGCAAAAACACAGGUCUCUGCGAAGCCGUAAGGCGAAGUAUAGGGGCUGACGCCUGCCCGGUGCUGGAAGGUUAAGAGGAGCGCUUAGCGUAAGCGAAGGUGCGAAUUGAAGCCCCAGUAAACGGCGGCCGUAACGAUAACGGUCCUAAGGUAGCGAAAUUCCUUGUCGGGUAAGUUCCGACCCGCACGAAAGGCGCAACGAUCUGGGCACUGUCUCAACGAGAGACUCGGUGAAAUUAUAGUACCUGUGAAGAUGCAGGUUACCCGCGACAGGACGGAAAGACCCCGUGGAGCCUUACUGCAGCCUGAUAUUGAAUGUUGGUACAGCUUGUACAGGAUAGGUAGGAGCCUUGGAAACCGGAGCGCCAGCUUCGGUGGAGGCAUCGGUGGGAUACUACCCUGGCUGUAUUGACCUUCUAACCCGCCGCCCUUAUCGGGCGGGGAGACAGUGUCAGGUGGGCAGUUUGACUGGGGCGGUCGCCUCCUAAAAGGUAACGGAGGCGCCCAAAGGUUCCCUCAGAAUGGUUGGAAGUCAUUCGCAGAGUGUAAAGGCACAAGGGAGCUUGACUGCGAGACCUACAAGUCGAGCAGGGACGAAAGUCGGGCUUAGUGAUCCGGUGGUUCCGCAUGGAAGGGCCAUCGCUCAACGGAUAAAAGCUACCCCGGGGAUAACAGGCUUAUCUCCCCCAAGAGUCCACAUCGACGGGGAGGUUUGGCACCUCGAUGUCGGCUCAUCGCAUCCUGGGGCUGUAGUCGGUCCCAAGGGUUGGGCUGUUCGCCCAUUAAAGCGGUACGCGAGCUGGGUUCAGAACGUCGUGAGACAGUUCGGUCCCUAUCCGUCGCGGGCGCAGGAAAUUUGAGAGGAGCUGCCCUUAGUACGAGAGGACCGGGAUGGACGCACCGCUGGUGUACCCGUUGUUCUGCCAAGGGCAUCGCUGGGUAGCUAUGUGCGGACGGGAUAAGUGCUGAAAGCAUCUAAGCAUGAAGCCCCCCUCAAGAUGAGAUUUCCCAUUCCGCAAGGAAGUAAGAUCCCUGAAAGAUGAUCAGGUUGAUAGGUCUGAGGUGGAAGUGUGGCGACACAUGGAGCUGACAGAUACUAAUCGAUCGAGGACUUAACC
rnacentral:rRNA from 1 species